UACGUAGGGUGCGAGCGUUGUCCGGAAUUAUUGGGCGUAAAGAGCUCGUAGGCGGUCUGUCGCGUCGAUCGUGAAAACUUGGGGCUUAACCCUGAGCUUGCGGUCGAUACGGGCAUGACUGGAGUUCGGCAGGGGAGACUGGAAUUCCUGGGUGUAGCGGUGAAAUGCGCAGAUAUCAGGAGGAACACCGGUGGCGAAGGCGGCACCUGGACCGGCAUUGACGCUGAGGCGCGAAAGCCAGGGGGAGCAAACGGG
rnacentral:rRNA from 1 species